rnacentral:rRNA from 1 species
GAUGAACGCUGGCGGCGUGCCUAAUACAUGCAAGUCGAGCGAACAGACGAGGAGCUUGCUCCUCUGACGUUAGCGGCGGACGGGUGAGUAACACGUGGAUAACCUCCCUAUAAGAGUGGGAUAACUUCGGGAAACCGGAUCUAAUACCGGAUAAUAUAUUGAACCGCAUGGUUCAAUAGUAAAAGACGAUUUUGCUGUCACUUAUAGAUGGAUCCGCGCCGCAUUAGCUAGUUGGUAAGGUAACGGCUUACCAAGGCAACGAUGCGUAGCCGACCUGAGAGGGUGACCGCUCAACCUGGAACUGAGCCACGGUCCAGACUCCUACGGGAGGCAGCAGUAGGGAAUCUUCCGCAAUGGGCGAAAGCCUGACGGAGCAACGCCGCGUGGGUGAUGAAGGUCUUCGGAUCGUAAAACUCUUUUAUUGGGGAAGAACAAAUGUGUAAGUAACUAUGCACGUCUUGACGGUACCUAAUCAGAAAGCCACGGCUAACUACGUG